GACGAACGCUGGCGGCGUGCUUAACACAUGCAAGUCGAACGGAAAGGCCCUGCUUUUGUGGGGUGCUCGAGUGGCGAACGGGUGAGUAACACGUGAGUAACCUGCCCUUGACUUUGGGAUAACUUCAGGAAACUGGGGCUAAUACCGGAUAGGAGCUCCUGCUGCGUGGUGGGGGUUGGAAGGUUUCGGCGGUUGGGGAUGGACUCGCGGCUUAUCAGCUUGUUGGUGGGGUAGUGGCUUACCAAGGCUUUGACGGGUAGCCGGCCUGAGAGGGUGACCGGCCACAUUGGGACUGAGAUACGGCCCAGACUCCUACGGGAGGCAGCAGUGGGGAAUAUUGCACAAUGGGCGGAAGCCUGAUGCAGCAACGCCGCGUGCGGGAUGACGGCCUUCGGGUUGUAAACCGCUUUCGCCUGUGACGAAGCGUGAGUGACGGUAAUGGGUAAAGAAGCACCGGCUAACUACGUG
rnacentral:rRNA from 1 species